rnacentral:lncRNA from 1 species
AUGCACAAAUGUAUUGGCAGAGCUUGCUGUAAACCUCUGAAUAUGAUGAACUCAGUAUCUGGAUUUGUUAUACUUUCAGGUGGGACCCUCUUCUGACAUGUGAUCUACUGUGAGCUACUUUGACUCCUACAAUGACAAUGUUAUCACUGCCACAUCUCUGGGAACCAGUUAUCCACAAGAACACGGUGGAAGAGAGAGUCAACAGCCAUAUUUGCUGGAGUAGUGAACCAAAUUGCUUUGACUGGAACCAUUACUCACUUGCACCUUUGAUGGCAGCAGCCAGAUGCUGCUGCUCAUUGCUGACAGCGUGAAUAGGAGGAGGCUGAAUCUUCCUGUGGGUUUGAGCUCAAGACGUG